rnacentral:misc_RNA from 1 species
GUGAAUAUCUGCAACUGCAUUGCUGCAGAAAAUGUUAAUGCAAUUUGCCAAUUGAAUGUGUGCAAGAUAUGGGGAAAAAUAAACUAAAAUCUAGUUGUAUAUUUCAAUAUAAUUAACUGGAAGUAUAUGGAUAUGACAAGGUAUCAACAAAAACAAGAGGUAACUAGGAUUGAAAUGUCAACUGAUUUUCUUAAAUAACCAAUACUUACACUAGAGCUGAAUGUGACACUGA